GGCGCACUUGUUGAGUUUGGGAACUUUCAGAGGCUUGAACUUCUCACUGUGGACGCGGAGCUCCUUCAUCAUGAUUAUCCUCAGGCAACAUGGAUUUAUGCCUAUUUUUCACUUCUACGGCAGUGUUUUUCUUUUCUGAAGUUUAUGUGGAUUGUCUUUUGCGUUUUACGCGUUGGACACACACCGUUAACAGCGUGCACGAGUAAUAAAUAACAUUACUGUGAGGAUGGAGCGUCUCUGAAGACUCGUCUUUAUUGCACUCGCACCACUUAAACCGAUUCAUAUCUGAAGGAGAGUCAGUGUUUGGUGGAGAGAUAUGAGACGCUUUACUGACAGACGUGUCAUGCCACUAUGAGACGAUUUAUGGACUAUCAUUGGAGUUUAAAUGCUCUGUAAAGAGACACUGGACGCUGGAGGAGUGAAUGGAGAACAUCGCUGCUUUGCCAAGAUGCAUCAUCAGCUCAAAUCCGAUGGGACGCCGCUGCAUGUUGUCAUCUGUUCAGAUGGAGUGACAUUUGUCUGGUAGCGGAAUGCAGUGCAGGUUUCAUCCGUCACGUGGGGAGCAUCGCUCAAGGUGUCGUACACCUGUCCUGCUGCGUUAACCUCAUCAUGGCCUCCUUUACCAGCAUUUCUGUGCCAGUCAUCUGGAACAACACAGCGGCUAUUCUAACACCCCUGGUGUUCAUUAUCCCGCAGAGAUCUUUUUAUCCGACGUAACACUUCGGAGACUGUCAAAGAGAGAUUUGCUCAUCUGGAAAGCGAGCGGCGGUCCUCGGCCUCCGCGCGACUGUCAGCCGCAUGCGGAGACGAGCGGCGGUUUGGAAGCGCUUGAACAUCUGCAUGCGCCUCCAGUUGUUUGUAAUAGUGAUGGUGUAAGGAGAGAGACACCCCUUUCUUUUUCAGACCCCCCUUUCUUCUCAAAAAAUCCCACAUCAGUCCAUCUGGUUUAUGUUUGUUUGGCUGCGUCUGGCCCAUAGCUGCUUCUCAAACUCUUGCUGCUGGCUGUAUCGGGGUCCAGAUGGCUUUAGCGCUGCACUUUAAGUGUCUUGCAUGGGUCGUUUGUGAUGAGGAAGCCCUUUCCUAUACGUUGAUCCCCUACGACCGUCCCAAAGAGAGAUACAGCGUCAGCUAACCUGUAGAGGAUGACGUUUGGGGG